rnacentral:rRNA from 1 species
GACGAACGCUGGCGGCGUGCCUAAUACAUGCAAGUCGAGCGGAUGUUCUCCUUCGGGGGAAUGUUAGCGGCGGACGGGUGAGUAACACGUGGGCAACCUGCCCGUAAGAUCGGGAUAACUACCGGAAACGAUAGCUAAUACCGGAUAGAUGGAAGGAAGGCAUCUUCUUUCUUGGAAAGGCGGAGCAAUCUGCCACUUACGGAUGGGCCCGCGGCGCAUUAGCUAGUAGGUGAGGUAACGGCUCACCUAGGCGACGAUGCGUAGCCGACCUGAGAGGGUGAUCGGCCACACUGGGACUGAGACACGGCCCAGACUCCUACGGGAGGCAG